rnacentral:rRNA from 1 species
AACGAACGCUGGCGGCAGGCCUAACACAUGCAAGUCGAGCGGACCCUUCGGGGUUAGCGGCGGACGGGUGAGUAACGCGUGGGAAUAUGCCCUUCUCUACGGAAUAGUCCUGGGAAACUGGGGGUAAUACCGUAUACGCCCUUUGGGGGAAAGAUUUAUCGGGGAAGGAUUAGCCCGCGUUGGAUUAGGUAGUUGGUGGGGUAAUGGCCUACCAAGCCGACGAUCCAUAGCUGGUUUGAGAGGAUGAUCAGCCACACUGGGACUGAGACACGGCCCAGACUCCUACGGGAGGCAGCAGUGGGGAAUCUUAGACAAUGGGGGCAACCCUGAUCUAGCCAUGCCGCGUGAGUGAUGAAGGCCUUAGGGUUGUAAAGCUCUUUAAGCUGGGAAGAUAAUGACGGUACCAGCAGAAGAAGCCCCGGCUAACUCCGUG